GCUUAGCCCUAAACCCAGAUAGUUAAUCCAAACAAAACUAUCCGCCAGAGAACUACCAGCAACAGCUUAAAACUCAAAGGACUUGGCGGUGCUUUACAUCCCUCUAGAGGAGCCUGUUCUAUAAUCGAUAAACCCCGAUACACCUCACCAUCUCUUGCUAAUCCAGCCUGUAUACCGCCAUCUUCAGCAAACCCUAAAAAGGAAGAAAAGUAAGCACAAGUAUCUUAACAUAAAAAAGUUAGGUCAAGGUGUAGCCCAUGAGAUGGGAAGUAAUGGGCUACAUUUUCUACAACUAGAACACCCACGAAAAUCCUUAUGAAACUAAGUAUCAAAGGAGGAUUUAGUAGUAAAUCUGAGAAUAGAGAGCUCAAUU
rnacentral:rRNA from 1 species